rnacentral:lncRNA from 1 species
GUACAUUCCUAAAGUUAUGCAUGCUAUUUUGUUUUAACACUGUUAUUCAAGUGACUUUUUUUCUUUUGCUUUAAGUGAUGUUUCCUAGUAGCAAAAUUUCUUCUGUAGCUCUCGACUUUCAAGCCACUGCAGUCAAAUACUUUAGUAAUUCUAAAAUGGCUAUUUACUACCUCUCCCAUAUAACACUUGGACAACUGCAACAUAUAUAACCUUUUGUUUUCUCCUGUUGGUAAUGUGAAAGGCAUUGUAUGUUUGCAGAUAUUUUUAACUGAGUUUGUCAGUUAGUAUCACUGUAUCCCAUAAUGCAGUCAAGGUUUGUAGAAGUGACUGGUAAAUGUUGAAGAAACAGUUUAAAAAAAACCUCAAUAUGUUGUGCUUACACUAGAAUGCAAAUUAGUGGUGCUUCAUAUAACAAAUGUUUUCAUGUUAAUUUGAUUGGAGCCAGUUGUGUAAAGGUUCAAAAGCCCAGUUUGUAUAGUAAACACAUUCCCAUGCUUCAAUCUGUUGUACUAACGCAUCCCUGCUGUUUAUUUUUAACAGAAUUCAAGAUGUUUGAGAAUAUCUAAUUUCUUAAUGUAAGAAACUAGCAUUGUCUUGUGCAUGUGUAGAAUUGUGCGUCAUCUGCUUUUGAUCAUGCAAUUAUUUCCCCCAUAUGCAUAAAAAUGUAUUACAUGGUAAAACAAUAUAUGGCUAUCUUUACAAACCAGAAUGCAUGAUUUUAGUGUGAAAUUGGCAAAGUAAAAUCCAGCAAGUUAAAUGCACCCUGUGUAUCAAAAUUUUGUAUGACCUAGCCCUUUACAUUUUCCUGAUCCGUGAAGCUUUAGUAUUACUUUAUUUUUUAUUUUUUUUCCCUUCCCUUAUCAAAGUAGACACAUAUUGUUUUCCCAUAAUUCUUUUUUCUUUAAAUGUUAAUCUAAAAGUGGAUUGUUUGUGUUGUAAAAUAUUGGAGUCUCAAGGUAUAUGCUCCGUAAAUUAACAUGACAUGAAAGUAGCACAGGAAACUGGUUCAUAAACCUUGCUUUAAAAUAUAAAUUCAUGCAGGUUUAUCUUUUCAAUCAUUUAUUGCAGACAAGGUUCUGUAAUAUUACACAUGUUUAAUAGAGUAUAUUCUUAUACUAGAACCUUUGUACACAAUUUAUAAAAUGUCCCUCUUCUGUGGAAGUAUAUCUAGUCAUCUGAAAUCUGAAAUGCUCUGGGUUUUUUUUGUUUGUUUUUUGCAUGGUUGUUGCAUAGUAAUUCCAGUGAUUAGCAGUGGAUUAAAUCUGUUUAUUUCUGUAUACUGUGCUUAAACUGUACUUAGUGCAUUUAUACUUUAACAAUAUCAGGUUUUUUUUUUUUUUUCUUUUUCAUACUCAACAGCAGAUUCUUUCUGUUUUCAGUGGAAAUCUUGCUUUUUAUUCUGCACCAAUGACACCCACAAUGAGAUUGUAUAUAGUGUACUGUUUGAGUGUUGUGUGGCAGCAGUUUACUUUAGAAUGAAAGUGUAUUACAUGCAAUUCCUCUCAAGUGCCUUUUUGUAUGCACAAGAUACUUCAGAUGGUCUCUGAGCGAUCUCCUUUCAGGUUAGAUCCUAGACAUGCCUCAAAAAGCUGUAUUGAAGCCUUUUUUUCGAACUUAAAAGGAUAUCUAUAAUUUUUUUUUAAUAUACAUUUUUUUUCCUUUUGCUAUCUACUAGGGAUCACAGAUGAGUAAUACAUUUAAUCUGACUUUGGUCCACUGUUCAGCAUGGAUAUUUACUUCUCUCUGACCACGAAUAUCUGAAUUUUACUAUGGAGGGAGUCUAGUAAUAGACUGUUUGAUGUUACCCCUGCAACCUCUCUCCUGCUUAUCAUGAUUGUUAGGCAUUUUUUUUAUUUAGAGUGUGAAUGUUCAUGUAAUGUAAAAAUGACAUGCAGUACGUUUAUCAACAUUUGAAACAAACAUGACUUGUCAAUUUCGUUAAUGGUAUGUGUUAAUCUGCUUGCAUUAACACAUUAUAAGUCAUACGUCAACACAUUUAUUCUUUUACCAUUUUAUGGCAGUCCCAUUUUGGUUAUGUACCUGAUAGCCAGGCGAGAGAGAGAACAGAUUCAUCACUGAGCUGGUGAAGUGACUUGGAUUCCAUAUAUAUCUAUGCCUUGAUAAGUGCAGAGGGAAAAAACAUUUAAAAACAUAUUAAUCUUUGUAAACAAAUGUUCAGUAUCCCUUAGCUCCCUGCAUGACACCAAAAGUCCUAGUGUACAGCAUAUCUUCUUUUUGAGAAGAUUUGGACAAAUGCUAUUAUGACAUGACUGUCUUGUUACGAAGAGACCUGUAGAUUAUUUAGUUAUAUAGAAACUAAAUGUAUAGAUUGAGAGGGAAAUUGUGUAUUUUAUGCUUUGCUCAAACACCUUAAACAGUACUUGGGUAACAGUACUAUCUAAAGUCAAUAAGCCAGAAUUGCUGUUAUAAUUACAGUAGAUGUUUCAGCCCUUUUAUGAAAAAUCUUUUGACACUUGCAACUGCAAAUUAAGUCUGUUCUAAAAUGCAACAGUACCACAGUAUGACAUUGUUACUCUCUUGAGCACAAGCAUUUAAUAUAUCAUUUGGGUUUAAUGAAGGCUACAUUAAAAAGGACACUAUAGUCACCAAAACAACUUUUAACUUAAUGAAGCAGUCUUGGUAUAUAAAGCAUGCCCCUGCAGCUUCACUGGUCAAUUCUCUGCCAUUUAUGAGUUAAAUCACCUUGUUUAUGCAGUCUUAGUCAGACUUCCCUGCAUUUUACUUGCACCGCCUUCCUAAACACUUCCUGUAAGGAGACAUCUAAUUUUUAAACUUCCUUUCUUGCACAUUAUGUUUAAUUUAGAACCUUUAUAUCUCCUGCAAGAGCCUCCUGUGUGUGAUUAAAGUUCAGUUUACAGAGUAGGAGAUAUUAUCGCCAUUUAUAUAGCGCCAACAGAUUCCGUAGCGCUUUACAAUAUUGGAUAUAAACUUCUAAAACAAUUUAACAUCUAAUUGCAAAUUAAAUCAUUUUGUAUUUAUUUUUUUUAUUACAUUUUUUUUUUCCUGGGGUGGUGUAGCUAGGGCAGCAUAAACAGAAACAAAAGUGGUUUAACUCCAAAAUGAAAGAAUUGAGCAGUGAGACUGCAGUAGCAUGAUCUAUACACUAAAGCUGCCUCAUUAAGCUAAAGUUGUUUUGGUGACAUUUGUGUCCAUUUAAUAUGGAAAAGUUUUUAAAUUGUGACUGUCAGAUGAAUGGCAACAUUAAAGCUCAAUAGCAUUGAUGUAAGUGUGUGAAUAAAGUGUACCAUGCAUGUGUGUGUUUUUGUAUAAAAGCACACUAUAUAUGUUUACACUUAUACAGUGCAUAGUAACUCUUUUUGACUUGCAUGGAUGGUUUGUGUAUCCUUUUUUGGAUAAAAUUGGUGCAGAGUAUAUACAAAGCAGACUUCUUGUUGAAACACUUAAUUUCUGGCUGUUAUAUAUUUUUGAUUUUUAAUACUCAUGUCAGGGUAUAUUAAGAUUUCACUUGUUUAAUAUUAAAACCGUGUUUUCCCCCAAAAAUUUACAGCUGGCAACUGAGAAAAGAGGAUUCUAAUCUUCAAGGGGCUGUUUAACGAGAGGAAAAUUGAUGGAAAAGUGUUUGUUUAGUACAUGCACAUUUUACUAAAAUUGGCAGUUUAAAAAAAGAUUAUAUAUGAAUAUUGUGUAACUGCUAUUGUGAUGCCAGUUUCCGUGUUUUUAAGUGAAAAACGUCUUGACUUCGUUACUUUGUGCUGUACACACAAGAUUUCUGGAAAGUGAGGAGUACCCCUUUCUGGCUCACAUAACUUAAGUGGUCAUACAAAGCAUACACACAGUUGACCUGAUUUUGUUUCAUUCUCAAUAAAUUGUUUCUUUUGAGGAAAAUGUCUUUCUGCCUGGAAGUAAAUUGACGACAAACCUUACUACCCUUUUGUUUUGCAGCUUAAGGGUACUGUUCCUAAAUGCUUGAUUUAUUAGAACAAAGGCAAUAUUUCAUAAUCUACAAGCCGUUGAAAAAAAAAAAAAAACCAAAACAUUGACGUG